UGUUCCGACAAUAUCGUGCAUCCUAAGUGAUAGGUUUGUAUACAGCAUGCAUGCUUACACAGCCACAUACUGGUCUAGCAUGUAUACUACAUCGUUUUGAGUCAGUUUCAGUGGUUUCUUGUGUAUGCAGAUAUUUCUUGAAACGACGCAGUGCUUAUGGAAGAACGAGGGGAAAAAAGUUCGGAUAGGGAAAGCUCUGACAAUAAGCCCUAAAUGUUAAUACGGCUUGCCAUACUUUAACCGCCCAAAUGGCGCCGCGCCGAACGCAGAGUGGGCGGAGACUCGCAGAUCCCGCCCACCGUCGGGUAAUCGUCGGUUCGUCUGAACCGAACUGCAGUGCAGAGCCGGAAUGGGGGGCUUGGCCCCGGUCCAGCACGGUCAAAAUUAGCUCUCUGUUGAAUUACAUGCAGUCAGCCAGUGGAAGCGGCUGAGAUCCUGACGCCCCAGUCCCGCAGCCUUGUAUGGGGUGUCCAAACCCCGCAAGGCUGCUGCUCGGGUCCGCUUUCGUCCAAGAACGCCUUUUCCAACAGCAACUUUACAGCAGAGGACAAGAACAAAGACUUUAUCUGUUGUUUCUUCAAAAUGACACCAACAGGAGCAAUGGGGGAUCCCAUUAGAGCUGACGGUUGUGUUCCUGAACCUGGUGGCGCAGAGAGGAACGACCACGAAAGAUCGACAUUCCAUUUGUCUGAUGCAGGAUAGAGAAAGGCCCUCUGGGGGAAUUGUAUCCUCAUAAAAACCUGGGACUCUAAGCCUUGAUGAUAUGCUCUUCGGAGGGGGCGGCAGUAAAGACACACAGCACCUCAAGACAGACCUGACAGACUGGAGCUUCACUAAAGACCCACAUGUCUGUGUUUGAAAACUCCACAGGGGCCCUUGGGGGUCCGGCGGCAGCAGCACGUCUUCCACAUGUCCACUUCUACUUUACAUGGCUGGACUCUUUCAUACGUCUGUGAAUUCCUGUGAACAAACCCACCAAGAAAUGUUAACAGUGUUCUGUAUUGACAUGCAAUGUGACAAACGCUAGCGACGAUAUGUGUUUUUAAAGGCCGAUAUCAACAUCAGGGUUCCCACAUGGACAAACAGAAUUGGUGUUGAAACAAGUUUUCACUCAAAAAAUUCACAAAAAAAUUGAAGAAACUAUUUUUACACAUAAAUUAAAUAAAUUUCUCUCACACACACACGCACACACACACACAAACAAAAACAAAUUGGUGUAGAAGUGAUUUUCAAUCAGAAAUUAAUGUAGACAACAAAUUUUCACUCAGAAAUUAAAUAGAUUUCCCCAAAAAAUUGCUGUAGAAACAAUUUUCACUACGAAAUUAAACGCAUUUCUCCAAAAAAUGGUGUAGAAUCAAUUUUCACUCAUAAAUUCAACAAAUUUCACCAAAACUUUAUGUAGAAACAGUUUUUUCAAAAGUAAUUAAAAAGUACCACAUUGCAUUUAUUGUGAUUUUAAAAAUCCGAAAAAGUAUAUUCUUGCAAAAGAUACUCAUAUAAUCUUUGUUUUAUUUGGAACUUUGAUUUUUCUUACUUCUUAACAGUGCAUGGUAAAAUAUCAGUGAAUCCUAAAAUUGUAGCUCUGGAAAGUACAUGAAAAUGUAUAGAAUUGUAUAAAAGUCAUGGAAAGUGAAUAUGAUUUCUGUUUCGAGUUUUGCACUGCUCUUAAUUAUUUAAUCGUCUAGAAAUUGUUCCAUGAGGUGAUUUUUGAAAUUGAUCAAUUGCACUGAAGUAAUGCAACAUACAGAAUUGCCAAACUUAAACUUUUGAUUUUUGCAACUUUUAUUUACUUAAAAUUCUCUAAAAAGUAUUUGAAAUCAAAGCUAGCACUUCUGUUAGCCCAUGGCCAUUUUGACAGUAUCACCAAAUAUAUCAGUCUAUCACUACCAAAACACACAUUCACAGAAGUACUUUGACGUCCCUCUCGGAUACUCGAUCAGAUCCAUCCAUACGUCUUCAUCACUAAACCACGUCAACGUCAGUCAGUACUCACACCUUACAGUAUUUACUAAGGCUAAGAGUCCCCACUUCUUCUCAUGCAGUUACUAAAAAAAGCUACAGAGUUCAUCUUUUUUGUUUCAUUUUUUUUUUUUAGAAUUUGCUUGUUAAGUUUUGCUUUUUAACUUUUUUUGUUGCUUUGCCAGUAUAUUAAAGUGUAAUCAUGUACGUUGUGAUAUAGAAAUAGCUGUAGAGACGCAUUGUUUCCUUGUGGUAAGUGACUGAGAUGCUGCCACGGAUUUGAGACACUGAUGAAUGGUGCUAUUUUGGACUUUAAUCUGCUCCUUGGUAAGGAAGCUCAGAUGGGUUUAUUUUAUAUUUUCAUGUUCGGAAGAGGUGUUGGUUCUUUGUUGUCUGGUUGUCGUAACUCGGAUCGGAUUGACUUUACUCCCCCCUUGUUGUUUCUGUGUGGCUUUCUCAUUGGACAGAAAAACAGAUUUGCCGAAGAGUUGGUGUUUUGUUUGGUUUCAUUUCUUUUACUCGAAGAUGUAAGAUCAUUUGCAAAAUUCUGAAACUAUAGACAGUCGGAGCAAUCACAAAACUGCAAUUCUUAACACUAUUUACCCUUUAAUGUAAAGGUUUAAUUCGAGGAGUAGUUAGAGUUCCUGGCACUAUAGUCACUUCUGGCAAUAGCAAACUCUCAUACUUACAGGACGGGGUACCUUACAUGGCCGAUUUCAUGUUUUUGUUUAGCGACGAACUUCUAAUACAUCAAGGACACUUUCAAAGAGACAUCAGUGCGAAACACGGAGGAUGUGGUCGCUGUUGUAGUUUGCUGCGCUCGGUCCCAGGGUGACGGUGGUCUACAUAGUGUACAUAUGCAGAGCAGCUGAGGUCAGAUUUAUCAUCCUACACCAGUCUAACAAGGACAAAAACGCUCAUCUGUUUAGCGCACGGGGUCCUUCGAUGUAUUUUCAAAGGCAAAACAUGUAGCAUCGACACGUUUAGCGGCUGGUUUGUACAUGAGUUUUCUGGGUUUUAGGAUGAGAACCAAAAGCUUUAUAUUUAUUCAUUUAAGUAGCACGGUAUUGUCACUCGGUAUUUGCAGUUUUGUCUUUGCUUCCAGUUCAUAUACUUUUAAGAAUCCUAUUUCAGAGUCCGACUGGAAAGCCCACGUUAGUUUCUUAGUCUUCCAUUUAUUUUUCCACUACACAGUGGGGACCUUCCCAGCUUGCUCUAGUCUUUCCUUAGUGCUUAUUGAUCGCAUGCUCUCUGCUCUUCCUUUUGUUUCUGAUCUGAAUGAUUCUCCUCGCGGUUUCUUCUCAUAGAUUAGAUAUGGCAACUGUGUUGUAAAUAGUUAGUGAAUAGCUUGUAGUAUGUUGAAUUAUUCUGUAAUAACUGUGUAUGAUUGGUGUACAAAACAUGAAGUCAAGCUGUUGUCAUCUUUAUAAGGAUGCACAGGUUUUUCAUGUUAUUUUGCAACUUAAGCUGUAGUUGAAUAAAUAUGCAAGCUCUCGCUAUUCUGGGUGUUGUUUAUUAGUCUUGUAAUUCAAAUAUUGCAUUAGUAAUGUUUAAAAGUUUGGGGUCAGUAUGUUUUUUUUUUUUUAAGAAAUGCAUACUUUUAUUUAGCAAGGAUGCAUUAAAUUGAUCAAAGGUGACAGUAAAAACAUUUAUAAAGAUUCUGUUUUAAUAGAUGCAUUAUUCAUCUGUGAAUCCUGAAAAAUAAAAUGUAUCACAGUUUCCACAAAAAUAUAAGGCACUGUUUUCAACAUUGAUAAUAAUGUUUCUUUAGCAGCAAAUCAGCACAUUAGAAUGAUUUCGGAAGGAUCAUGUGACACUGAAGACUGGAGUAAUGAUGCUGAAAAUUCAGCUUUGAUCACAGAAAUAAAUUACAUUUUAACACAUACUCCAUAGAAAACAGCUAUUUUUAAAUCCUAAUAAUAUUUCACUAUUUUUCAGUUUUUACUGUAUUAAAAAAUAAAA